rnacentral:rRNA from 1 species
GACGGGGGGUCCUAGCGUUGUUCGGAAUCAUUGGGCGUAAAGCGUGUGCAGGCUGUUCGAUAAGUUGGAUGUGAAAGCCUUGGGCUUAACCCAAGAAGUGCAUUCAAAACUAUCAGACUUGAGUACGGAAGAGGAUCGUGGAAUUCCUAGUGUAGUGGUGAAAUACGUAGAUAUUAGGAGGAACACCGGUUGCGAAGGCGGCGAUCUGGUCCAGUACUGACGCUCAUACACGAAAGCGUGGGGAGCAAACAGG